rnacentral:rRNA from 1 species
UACGUAGGGGGCUAGCGUUAUCAGGAAUUACUGGGCGUAAAGGGUGCGUAGGUGGUUUCUUAAGUCAGAGGUGAAAGGCUACGGCUCAACCGUAGUAAGCCUUUGAAACUGAGAAACUUGAGUGCAGGAGAGGUAAGUGGAAUUCCUAGUGUAGCGGUGAAAUGCGUAGAUAUUAGGAAGAAUACCAGUAGCGAAGGCGACUUACUGGCCUCUAACUGACGCUGAUGAACGAAAGCGUGGGUAGCAAACAGGAUUAGAUACCCGCGUAGUCCCUGAGCGGG